rnacentral:rRNA from 1 species
AUUGAACGCUGGCGGCAUGCUUUAUACAUGCAAGUCGAACGGUAGAGGGGGCAACCCCUUGAGAGUGGCGAACGGGUGAGUAAUGCAUCGGAACGUGCCCAGUAGUGGGGGAUAGCCCGGCGAAAGCCGGAUUAAUACCGCAUACGACCUUAGGGUGAAAGCGGGGGAUCGCAAGACCUCGCGCUAUUGGAGCGGCCGAUGUCAGAUUAGGUAGUUGGUGGGGUAAAGGCCUACCAAGCCGACGAUCUGUAGCUGGUCUGAGAGGACGACCAGCCACACUGGGACUGAGACACGGCCCAGACUCCUACGGGAGGCAGCAGUGGGGAAUUUUGGACAAUGGGCGCAAGCCUGAUCCAGCCAUGCCGCGUGCGGGAAGAAGGCCUUCGGGUUGUAAACCGCUUUUGUCAGGGAAGAAAUCUUCUGGGCUAAUACCCUGGGAGGAUGACGGUACCUGAAGAAUAAGCACCGGCUAACUACGUGCCAGCCGCCGCAGUAA